CGGGUGAGUAACGCGUGGGUAACCUGCCUCAUACAGGGGGAUAACAGUUGGAAACGACUGCUAAUACCGCAUAAGCGCACAGGAUUGCAUGAUCCAGUGUGAAAAACUCCGGUGGUAUGAGAUGGACCCGCGUCUGAUUAGCUAGUUGGUAAGGUAACGGCUUACCAAGGCGACGAUCAGUAGCCGACCUGAGAGGGUGACCGGCCACAUUGGGACUGAGACACGGCCCAA
rnacentral:rRNA from 1 species